GAUGAAGAACGCAGCGAAAUGCGAUAAGUAAUGUGAAUUGCAGAAUUCAGUGAAUCAUCGAAUCUUUGAACGCACAUUGCGCCCGCCAGUACUCUGGCGGGCAUGCCUGUUCGAGCGUCAUUACAACCCUCAGGCCCCCGGGCCUGGCGUUGGGGAUCGGCGGAAGCCCCCUGCGGGCACAACGCCGUCCCCCAAAUACAGUGGCGGUCCCGCCGCAGCUUCCAUUGCGUAGUAGCUAACACCUCGCAACUGGAGAGCGGCGCGGCCACGCCGUAAAACACCCAACUUCUGAAUGUUGACCUCGAAUCAGGUAGGAAUACCCGCUGAACUUAAGCAUAUCAAUAAGCGGAGGA
rnacentral:misc_RNA from 1 species